rnacentral:rRNA from 1 species
AUGAAUUGACGGGGGCCCGCACAAGCGGUGGAGCAUGUGGUUUAAUUCGAUGCAACGCGAAGAACCUUACCUACUCUUGACAUCCAGAGAACUUUCCAGAGAUGGAUUGGUGCCUUCGGGAACUCUGAGACAGGUGCUGCAUGGCUGUCGUCAGCUCGUGUUGUGAAAUGUUGGGUUAAGUCCCGCAACGAGCGCAACCCUUUUCCUUUGUUGCCAGCGGUUAGGCCGGGAACUCAAAGGAGACUGCCAGUGAUAAACUGGAGGAAGGUGGGGAUGACGUCAAGUCAUCAUGGCCCUUACGAGUAGGGCUACACACGUGCUACAAUGGCGCAUACAAAGAGAAGCGACCUCGCGAGAGCAAGCGGACCUCAUAAAGUGCGUCGUAGUCCGGAUUGGAGU